CUGGCGGCGUGCCUAACACAUGCAAGUCGAACGAGAAAGUGGAGCAAUCCAUGAGUAAAGUGGCGACCGGGUGAGUAACACGUGACUAACCUACCUCCGAGUGGGGAAUAACUCCGGGAAACCGGGGCUAAUACCGCAUAACAUCGCAAGAUCAAAGCAGCAAUGCGCUUGGAGAGGGGGUCGCGGCUGAUUAGCUAGUUGGCGGGGUAACGGCCCACCAAGGCGAAGAUCGGUAUCCGGCCUGAGAGGGCGCACGGACACACUGGAACUGAAACACGGUCCAGACUCCUACGGGAGGCAGCAGUGGGGAAUUUUGCGCAAUGGGGGAAACCCUGACGCAGCAACGCCGCGUGGAGGAUGAAGCCCUUUGGGGCGUAAACUCCUUUCGACUCGGACGAUAAUGACGGUACGAGUGGAAGAAGCACCGGCUAACUCUGUGCCAGCAGCCGCGGUAAUACAGAGGGUGCAAGCGUUGUUCGGAAUUAUUGGGCGUAAAGGGCGCGUAUGCGGUGCGGUAAGUCACCCGUGAAAUCUCCUGGCUUAACUGGGAGUCU
rnacentral:rRNA from 1 species